GAGAGAAACAGAGCCCGUUCCCGUGCUGUGCACUUCCCUGAGCUGUGGGACUUGCACCCAGGACUGGGCUC
rnacentral:sRNA from 1 species